CGGAGGGGGCAAGCGUUGUUCGGAAUCAUUGGGCGUAAAGGGCGCGUAGGCGGCCUGUCAAGUCGGGUGUGAAAUCCCUCGGCUCAACCGAGGAACCGCACUCGAUACUGUCGGGCUGGAGUCCGGGAGGGGAUGGUGGAAUUCCCAGUGUAGCGGUGAAAUGCGUAGAUAUUGGGAAGAACACCGGUGGCGAAGGCGGCCAUCUGGACCGGUACUGACGCUGAGGCGCGAAAGCUAGGGGAGCGAAUGGGAUUAGAUACCCCGGUAGUCCUAGCUGUAAACGAUGGGCACUUGAUGUGGCAGGUUCUGACCCCUGCCGUGUCGAAGCUAACGCGUUAAGUGCCCCGCCUGGGGAGUACGGUCGCAAGGCUG
rnacentral:rRNA from 1 species